UACGUAGGUGGCGAGCGUUGUCCGGAUUUACUGGGCGUAAAGAGCGCGCAGGCGGUCAUUCAAGUCGCGUGUGAAAGCCCCCGGCUCAACUGGGGAGGGUCACGCGAUACUGAUCGACUCGAAGGCAGGAGAGGGAAGUGGAAUUCCUGGUGUAGUGGUGAAAUGCGUAGAUAUCGGGAGGAACACCAGUGGCGAAGGCGACUUCCUGGCCUGUUCUUGACGCUGAGGCGCGAAAGCUAGGGGAGCAAACGGG
rnacentral:rRNA from 1 species